GACACGACCGUACCGCAAACCGACACUGGUGCGCGAGAUGAGUAUUCUAAGGCGCUUGAGAGAACUCAGGAGAAGGAACUCGGCAAAUUGACACCGUAACUUCGGAAGAAGGUGUGCCUUUAGUAGGUGAACCUGUACAAGGGGAGCCCAAUGAGGUUGCAAAAAAUCGGUGGCUGCGACUGUUUAAUAAAAACACAGCACUCUGCAAACACGAAAGUGGACGUAUAGGGUGUGACGCCUGCCCGGUGCUGGAAGAUUAAAUGAUGGGGUGCAAGCUCUUGAUUGAAGUCCCAGUAAACGGCGGCCGUAACAAUAACGGUCCUAAGGUAGCGAAAUUCCUUGUCGGGUAAGUUCCGACCUGCACGAAUGGCGUAACGAUGGCCACACUGUCUCCUCCUGAGACUCAGCGAAGUUGAAAUGUUUGUGAUGAUGCAAUCUCCCCGCGGAAAGACGGAAAGACCCCAUGAACCUUUACUGUAGCUUUGUAUUGGACUUUGAACAGAUCUGUGUAGGAUAGGUGGGAGGCUUUGAAGUGUGGUCGCUAGAUCGCAUGGAGCCAACGUUGAAAUACCACCCUGGUGUGUUUGAGGUUCUAACCUAGGCCCGUAAUCCGGGUCGGGGACAGUGCAUGGUAGGCAGUUUGACUGGGGCGGUCUCCUCCCAAAGCGUAACGGAGGAGUUCGAAGGUACGCUAGGUACGGUCGGACAUCGUGCUAAUAGUGCAAUGGCAUAAGCGUGCUUAACUGCGAGACUGACAAGUCGAGCAGAUGCGAAAGCAGGACAUAGUGAUCCGGUGGUUCUGUAUGGAAGGGCCAUCGCUCAACGGAUAAAAGGUACUCUGGGGAUAACAGGCUGAUACCGCCCAAGAGUUCAUAUCGACGGCGGUGUUUGGCACCUCGAUGUCGGCUCAUCUCAUCCUGGGGCUGUAGCCGGUCCCAAGGGUAUGGCUGUUCGCCAUUUAAAGAGGUACGUGAGCUGGGUUUAAAACGUCGUGAGACAGUUUGGUCCCUAUCUUCCGUGGGCGCUGCAGAUUUGAGGAAGCCUGCUCCUAGUACGAGAGGACCGGAGUGGACACACCUCUGGUGUAUCGGUUGUCACGCCAGUGGCAUUGCCGAGUAGCUAUGUGUGGAAGAGAUAACCGCUGAAAGCAUCUAAGCGGGAAACUCGUUUCAAGAUGAGAUCUGCCGGGGCCUUGAGCCCCCUAAAGAGUCGUUCAAGACCAGGACGUUGAUAGGUCGGGUGUGGAAGCGCAGUAAUGCGUUAAGCUAACCGAUACUAAUUGCUCGUGCGGCUUGACCAA
rnacentral:rRNA from 1 species